GUGCAGAGCUGAAAUGACCUUACUACCCGAUGAGAAUGAACAUCCCAUAUCCCUUGACAACUUAAGUAAUGACUCUACAGGCCCAUUAUUGAUGCUGUGCACUGCACUGUGUGCCCUCCCUGAGAAGUUUCUGCUGAAAGUUGUGUGUCUUGUUUUUUGACACCCCGCAACACACAGUGCUGGUAUGUUCAUGCAGAGACACAGGAGCCGGAAGUUUUGAACCCCAAUGGGCAUUUUCGUCAGACCGAUCUGCACUGACACAUUUGGCUGAGCUGCCUUACGACCUCGACCCUUUCGCUCUGGAUUGUCCACCUCUGUGUACAAGUUGUACAUACCAGAGUGGUAUGUACAAAUAUUACAGCACAAACGCUGCCGAGUGCAUACACCCCUUCUUUCUUCCGCCGGGAAGUCCCACAUCAGUUGACCAUGGCAUUCUGGAGCCAAAGUGCGGUGGUCGUUGUGUGUUCUAUUCAUCAUUUGCUCCAGUUUGCCCAUGUGGAGGACCCUGUAUGUGUCGGCCUCUGAUCUGUUGAUAAAACCCAAAUAGAAGCCCAUAAAUACUAGCACUACCUCAUUUCUUAAUGUUUUCUUGUAUCUAGCAUUUUCAUUGAUAGAUUAUCUCCCUUGGACUGUUGGACUAUUUUCACCAGUGCUACCAUGCCAAGUUGACAUUGUUUGCAAGCCAUAUUUUUCAAAUCUGACUCUUUGUGAUUGUGUUUGUAAUCACAUAAAUAGUGUAUUUAUCCAACAAAAAUGUGAUUUGCAUGCUACAAGGUAUGUAAUGUGUAACUUUCAUAUAAAAGGUAUAAUUUAA